rnacentral:rRNA from 1 species
UACGUAGGUGGCAAGCGUUGUUCGGAAUUAUUGGGCGUAAAGGGCGCGUAGGCGGUUUGUUAAGUCGGUUGUGAAAGCCCGGGGCUCAACCCCGGAGAGUCGACCGAUACUGGCAGACUAGAGUACGGAAGAGGUAGCUGGAAUUCCCGGUGUAGCGGUGAAAUGCGUAGAUAUCAGGAGGAACACCUGAGGCGAAGGCGGGCUACUGGGCCGAUACUGACGCUGAUGCGCGAAAGCCAGGGGAGCAAACGGG